GGAAAGGACCUCAUAGUUUACAGUAUUUUCCUCCCACCUUUACGCGCGCAGAAUUGGGAAACUGAGAGAAACCUACUAGUCUGAUAUUCGUGAUCAUACACAAAUUCACACACACUACCUUAUUGCAUAAAUUACUCCGGUGCCUUCGAGUGUUGAAUGGCCUUUUAGGGUGGACAGUCGUACUGAUCAUGCAAGGGGUGUGAUUUGUUAUAUUUUUCGGUACAUAAAUUUCCCAAUUGAAAAUUGACCUCUAUGAAAUCAGAAGAUAGCGGAUAUCAAGGCCAUUGGAAUUGUAGACUGCAUGCCAUGAUUCGACAUAUGAUAAAAAGAUAGCAUGUGAGGAUAAAUGUUUAAAUCUCCUCCAAACAGAGGUUUUAUCUGUAUCCUUUCGGAAAAGCAAUUGUUGAAGGAGAUAAGAGGGCAGAGGGAACCAAUUGUGAAGAGUAUUGACUUGGGAAAGUAUGGGAAUUUCAGCGGGACUAUCUUUUGACUGAAAUGGGUCCUACAUAUUCAGAUAGCCUCUGCAGAAGAUAUCCAUUCAAGAAUAUAAGGAUUCUGGUCCAGCCCCAAUCUGUUUGGAAUGUCAAACCAAUGUCUCAUCUGUAUUUUGUGCAGUUUCAGCGAAAUUACAAGGUCCUUCGCUUAGUGUUAUGGGCACACCCUGUAUUGGAAGUAGGCGACCAAAGACAUACCAACGCAUACGGCAUGCAAUUGUCAUUGCUCUAUUAAAAGGUAAGUUCGUCAACUCGUUCCCUCUCUUUUAGUCUUCCAUCUAUACAAUAGUAAGCCAAGAUCAAAAUAUUAUACGCAAUUGGUAAUUGUAAAUUUGUGCGAUUAUUUGACACGUGUAUACCUAGGAAAACCUAGGCUUGCUUGGGAGGACAGCCGUGAAGUGAAUAUGUUAUGUUGAAUCAUAUGAAUAUGCGAAGUGGAUAGUCAAAGCUUAGAUUAAAGGGACUAGUAUUUAUGUGAACAUUCGCAAAAUACACCUUUUUUUUCUCUUUCCCUUUGUUCCAACACUAGAAAAGCAUAGGAUUCGUCAAACCUCAAUUUGGUCAAAAGAAAGUUCUACUUGCAUGAGUGAGUGGACAGCUACAUGUAAUGGUAGGGGCCUUAAAUUGACAUGGCAUCAAACUAGAUAUUCCGGGCAUAUUGUAAUGUUUUAAUACCAACUAGUGAAAUUACUUACUUU